rnacentral:sRNA from 1 species
ACUGCCCUCUGUGCCAGCAGCUCCAAUCUAGGACACAAUUAUCUUUAAUCUUUGUUGGCCUAAAAAUCCUCUAGCAUUGACUAACCGGUUCAAUCCUCCUCCAGCAAGUAUGUGGACUGGACUUGUGUGAUUUCUGGUCCUGACUUCCUUUGGUUUGCUCAGGUUCACAGAGUGUUUCCAAAUGGGCUGGCCUCCCAGGAAGGGACUAUUCAGAAGGGCAAUGAGGUUCUUUCCAUCAACGGCAAGUCUCUCAAGGGGACCACGCACAAUGAUGCCUUGGCCAUCCUCCGCCAAGCUCGAGAGCCCAGGCAAGCUGUGAUUGUCACAAGGAAGCUGACUCCAGAGGCCAUGCCCGACCUCAACUCCUCCACUGACUCUGCAGCCUCAGCCUCUGCGGCCAGUGAUGUUUCUGUAGAAUCUACAGAGGCCACAGUCUGCACGGUGACACUGGAGAAGAUGUCUGCAGGGCUGGGCUUCAGCCUGGAAGGAGGGAAGGGCUCCCUACACGGAGACAAGCCUCUCACC